GCUCCCUGAUGUUAGCGGCGGACGGGUGAGUAACACGUGGGUAACCUGCCUGUAAGACUGGGAUAACUCCGGGAAACCGGGGCUAAUACCGGAUGCUUGUUUGAACCGCAUGGUUCAAACAUAAAAGGUGGCUUCGGCUACCACUUACAGAUGGACCCGCGGCGCAUUAGCUAGUUGGUGAGGUAAUGGCUCACCAAGGCAACGAUGCGUAGCCGACCUGAGAGGGUGAUCGGCCACACUGGGACUGAGACACGGCCCAGACUCCUACGGGAGGCAGCAGUAGGGAAUCUUCCGCAAUGGACGAAAGUCUGACGGAGCAACGCCGCGUGAGUGAUGAAGGUUUUCGGAUCGUAAAGCUCUGUUGUUAGGGAAGAACAAGUACCGUUCGAAUAGGGCGGUACCUUGACGGUACCUAACCAGAAAGCCACGGCUAACUACGUGCCAGCAGCCGCGGUAAUACGUAGGUGGCAAGCGUUGUCCGGAAUUAUUGGGCGUAAAGGGCUCGCAGGCGGUUUCUUAAGUCUGAUGUGAAAGCCCCCGGCUCAACCGGGGAGGGUCAUUGGAAACUGGGGAACUUGAGUGCAGAAGAGGAGAGUGGAAUUCCACGUGUAGCGGUGAAAUGCGUAGAGAUGUGGAGGAACACCAGUGGCGAAGGCGACUCUCUGGUCUGUAACUGACGCUGAGGAGCGAAAGCGUGGGGGAGCGAACAGGAUUAGAUACCCUGGUAGUCCACGCCGUAAACGAUGAGUGCUAAGUGUUAGGGGGUUUCCGCCCCUUAGUGCUGCAGCUAACGCAUUAAGCACUCCGCCUGGGGAGUACGG
rnacentral:rRNA from 1 species